UUGGAUUAGCUUGUGAAGGAGAUCGAAAUGGAGGAGGUGGUGGAAGUGGAGGAGGAGAGAGUGGGAAUGUAGAAAUGGAGAGAGAGAGAGAGAGAGAGAGAGAGAGAGAGAGAGAGAGAGAGAGAGAUUAGGUUAGUGUUGUUUUGAUGGGGGGUUUUGUAUUUAUAAAGGGAGAGGACGGUGGAGGGGAGGGAAUAGCUAAUGAGAGAAAGAGAAGGGGAUUAUGGGGAGAGUGGGAGAAAUUCUUGCAUGGACCUGGUUUACCAUGUCAUCGGUUGACUGGAUAAACCCUCAUUUGCAUCAUUAUGUUCUACUACACUAUACUAUAGUUUUUCAUCUGUUAAAGAAGAUAACUUUUAAAUAUCAAAAAACUAUAGUUCGAUUAAGUGACGAAGAUUGAUUGGAAGAAGCACUACAAGACAAUAUAAUUAACUAUACAAGAAAAUAUAAUUACCACCUAUCACUUUUUAGUUUUUUUUUAAGUUAGUCUUUCUGCUCUUGUCGAUCUAUUCUUUUUCUUGACUUUUUACUGUCAUCGAGAUCUUAUUUGUCUUACUUCAUGUAGCUAAAUUUAUUUCUCUAAUGAAUAAAGCAGAUAGUGUGCUAUCUUUCUCUCUCUCAAAAAAAAAAAAAAGCAGACGAAAUUAUAUGACAAUGCGCGCGAUCGAACAUGACGCGUAAUUAUUGAGAAUUCAAAAUCGAUGUGAUAAAAAGUAAUAUGUUUAAUUGAUCUAUAAAUUGAUAUAUGGCUAAACACAAGAUCCAUAUAUGUUUGGUGGACUAUGUACACACAAUUACAAUUCUCAUGUAAGCAUUGAACAAAGUGAUAUAAGGGGUGGAAUAACCCCUUAACCCCCAUUUUAUCCCCAAACGCUCCAAAAAAUAGGUGGGGUUAGCUAACCCUACCUAACCCCACCUCAAAUAAAUUAUUCCGGGUUAGCUAACCCCACCUAACCCCACCAAACUCCAACCAAAUACUAUUUUCUAUUCAUAAUAACCCACUAUCUUUUUUAUCACACCUACUCCAAUCAAUCAUUAUCCUUCUUUAUCAAUCAUUAUCUUGUUAUCCUACCUACUCCAACCAAACACUAUUUUUUAUUAUUCUAGAUUAACUCCAACCCCCAACCAAACAUAAAAAAACUUUAACUCCGAACUUAACUCUAUCCCUAGAAUAGCUAUUUUUUUCUUAACCCCGAACCAAACGGAGACAUAGAGAAUUCAAUUUCUCAUUUAAUAAACGCAUUGAAUGUUGUGUGCAAAUGGAGAGCAGUGAUGUAGUGUUCCCUUUCCUUGUGUUUGUUUGGAAAAGUCUCAUAUGUUUGGCAAGAAUUGGAAUGAUGGGGAGUUGAUAAAUCAAUCUUAUCAUGUUCAGGCUCUCCACCACUUUGGUUUUUAUUUCACUUUUUUUAUAAGGGGAUUGCAAUAUUUAAUUAAUUAAGUCGAUCAUCUUUUAAACAUACUAUAUUAAAUAAAAAAAAAACAAAUCAUUUUGCUUUGCAAGUUACUACUAGCAUUUGGCAUGCUUGUGUAUUUCACCUGACACAUAAAAACAGCAGCAAAAUGUGGGACGGCUUCAACUGCAUACAAGAACAAAAUUUGAAUUUAUAUACAAACUGUUGGAUGUGUGAUUUGCUCUGAUACUAAGGGGUUGUUUGGUUGUAUGCAUUUCCAACUGCAUUGCAGUUGGAAAUGCAUGCAUCUAUUAAUUUUUUGUUUGGUUUGGUGUAGUUAGACCGAACUGAUGCAGUUGCAUCUGCACGAGAAGGCCCAACUGCAGCAGUUGGUACUGCAGCCAAAUUGACCGUAGUACCAACUAUAACAGUUGAGCCGGAGUCGGCUCACCCAUUAAAAAAAUAAACAAAGUGUGAUUUUUUUUUCAUACACUUCUUUUUUCUUUUUUUUUUUUUUCAAAAAUACAUAUUCAUUUAUUUUGAACAAAUUCAUAAUAUAUUUACAUUUAAGAUUUAUUAAAUUCAUAUAUAAUUUUAUAAUAUAUAAAUUAUAUAUAGAUAUAAAAGUUUUAAUUAAUAUUUAAAACAUGAUUACGUUAUGCUCAGAAGAGGUAAUCUUACAUUUCUAUAUAAAAAUUGAUAGAAUUUACAAAUACAAAUCUCAACUGCAGCCUACCAAACAGAGGAAAUGUAACCGCAGCAGUUGCAACUGUAUAAAACCAAACAGACUAGGUGUAGUUAUAACUGCAGCAUUUGUAACUGCAUGCAUUUCCAACUACACUGUUUCUACAACUACAUCCAACCAAACGGCCCCUAAUUAGUGAAACUGGUAUUUGUACUGAUAUCGAAUAUAUAAUCCAAAAUUUAAAUAAAACAAAAUAAUAUAGAGAAGAGAUAUUGUGCGGAAAGGAGAAAACUAAAUUAAUACUUUAUUAAUAAAAAGUAAUUAAUUACAUUCUGUGCAACACCCAUGCAGCUAUGUCUACUGUGAUUUUUUCAUCUAAUUAAUCCAUACCUAACUAUAUAUACCUAUCAAGUCCAACUUUUACUUUGGAUAAUUAUAAAUCCUAUUCUAAUUAUGUAAACUUUUAAAUAUAAUCAAUGUAUAAAUUGAAUAUACUCGUAGUUGAGAUGGGUUAUUUUCGGAAGUACGAAUAAAUAAUAUUGAAACAUAGCGAAAUUUAAAUUAUUUUCAAAAGAUUUUAAAUCUAGUUUAAUAAAUGAUGAGUUGAAAAUCUUAUCAUCAAAAACAACUACAUUCCUGCUUCUAAAAGCACUCUUUCUCGUAUACAUAGGACAACAACCUAUUCCCAAGGAGAUGUCACCAAUCUUAGCACUUAAUUAAUUAAUCAUCAACAUUGCUUUAAGAUUCGAACUUGUCGCUUUACGUAACCAGUUAAAUUAAUACUAUGUGAUGGGAGUGUAUCUUUGGAGCAAGUAGCUAGUGUGGCUUUUUCGAUGCAACGAAGCAAAAGAGAAUCCAAGGGAGCAUGAUAUUCAUUUCUUAUGGUACACUGUCUCUAGUUAGGUAUAUAUUUCCUGUNGAUAUGUUGUGUCGACAUUUUCAAUCAUAAACUAGGACAUUGUGAAGUGUUCUCCUCUAAAACUAAUUAUUUGUCACCUUCUACAACCUAGUGUUUGGCACUCUAUAUUCUCAGAGCUAUUUUGUGUUUUCAUGCAAAGUCAAUAUAGUUACAGUAUAUGUACAUUAAUUGACAUAUGACAUCUCAAAUCUACAAAGGAAGGUUCAAUUAUAGUUACAGUAUAUGUACAAUUCUACAUUGAUAUAUGACAUCUCAAAUCUAUAAAGGAAGGUUCACUAAAAAAAAAAAAAAGAAAAAGAAAAAGAAAAAAAAAAGUUCUAUACAUUAAACAAGGGUUUUCAAAUUUGUCAACGAGCUAGUACUGCUAUAUACACCAAAUGAUGCUUUUAAAAUUUUUCAUAAAUUUCUUUUUAAGAGAUUUUUUUUUUGUUUUUGUUGAUUCGUAAAAAGUAUAAUUGAAUAUAUAAUUGGUUUAAUUAGUCUCAGUGUAAAAACUGUAUCCUUUUAUUUUAAUAAAACGGUCGUUUCUAUACAGUAGCUGAGCUAAAUUGCUGUCACGACUUUUAAAGCUGGCACCAUAUUAUAAACAAAUUUAUCUAAUAUUUUUUAUUUUUAUACUUAGAAAAAAAAAAGUUGGCACCAUCUAGUUUAGGUGAAAUAUUAUUAAUUUAUUAAAUAGGCGUGCAAACAUAUAUUAUUGGCCUAAUCGAGUUGUGGCCUUUCCCAAUCUACUAGAACCUUUACAUAAGGGACAAUUUUUUUUUUUUUUUAUUUCAUUUUUAUUUGUUUAACCUUUUCCUUUUUACGUACACUGACAAAAAGCUGUUCCUAGCAAGUACAAUAUUCUUCUUGUGGUAUUAUAAUACUAUUUAAAAAAUUACACUGUUGAUAAUCAGUGAUAAAACUUUUUACGUAAUUGUAACUAGUUUAUCCAAAUAUAUAUAUGUUUUUUUUACAAAAAAAUUGGGUCAUUUCGCUUGCAAAACUAUGUUUUGAUUCUCGAAUGGAAGAACUUUGUUAUAGCUAAUCAACUGUCGCAUUAUUUUCGUGUCGAAUACGAAUCAUUUCGAAUAUGUUGUUCAAUAUUUUUUUUUUGAGAGAGAAAGAUUGUAACGUUUUAAUUUAUAUUAUUUAGAAAUAAUCCGAGUUAGAAAUAUAAAACAGCUAAGUAUAAAACUUGAAAUUUUUAAAUACUAAUUAAUCAUCAAAUUCUUAACCAACUAUGGUAGAUAUGGUCGUUACAACACGUGCAAGUUAAUUAGGAGAGAGUUGUACAUGUGUUAAUUAAAAUUCUGAUCACUCUCACGCUUAAGACUCAGGUACUAUCACAUAAAAUCUACUAGCAUCGAAAAAGAAAAAGUAAAAAAAAAAAAGAAAAGAACAACGCCUACUUGUAUGUUCGUAUAAUGAUAUAUAAUACAAUAAUAUUUAAGAUGAUCGAUCCCUUAGAUCAACUCUCAAAAAAGGAACAAAAGAAAAAAGAGACCAAGAAAAACAAUCUCUUCAUGUAGAUCAAAAGUAAUUAUUCGCGACAACCAACCACGUUAUUCUCCUUCUCAACCUCGUGAUCAAACGAGAUCGUUGAUAACGGUGAAUCCGAAUCUAAAUCCGAACCCGAAAUAGCAGAAGCAGAAGCAGAAGCGGAGACUAAGCUCACGAGGAGAUCCACGAAGGCCCCCACGAUGAAUGCGUGCGUUUUUUGACCGUUCGCAUUUAAAUACCACGUGAGCAGUUCCUCGAGCCCCUCCCAGUCGCUGACCGCAUGCGCCACCACCAUCUCCUCCAUGGACGCACGGAAAUCUCUAUACGGGUCCGUUGACUCCACGGUCAACGCCACGCUCUCCUCGAACGGCGAGCCCGCCGAGUCAGCGUUGACUUCCCCCUCCUCCUCCUCCUCUCUCUUCUCCAUGCUAUUGUCUACAUCGUCGUUGUCGUCGUCAUCGUUGUUGUUAUGGUUGUUGCGACGUGCGUGCACAAUGGACCGGGUCGUGGCGCCCGGUUCGAAGAAGAGCCGGUCGGACCGGACCCGGACCGGGACCGGGACCAGUGCUUCGUGAGUCGGGCCGGGGAGUAGGCUCUCGGUGUCAUCGGAGGCGGUGGAGUAGGCGGUGUUGUCGUAGACCGAGUUUGCGGUGUUGUAGAUGGAGGCGGCGGCGGAGGCGGCGUGGGCGCGAAAGGAGUUGGUUUUUGGGUGCUUGCAUGAAGAAGGCCAUGGCCAUGAAGAAGGUGGAGGAGGGUAGCAAAAGUAGUAUUUGUUGUAAGAGGAGGAGGAAGAAGAAGAGGAGGAGGAGGAGGAGGAGGAGGAGGAGGAGGGUCUUGGGUUGUCUCUUAGCUUGAAGAGGAGAGAGCUCAAGCCCCUCUUGCCCAUUAAAAAUGGCUUCUUCUGCUUCUGCUUCUAGCUUUGGAUUAGCUUGUGAAGGAGACCGAAAUGGAGGAGGUGGUGGAAGUGGAGGAGGAGAGAGAGGGAAUGUAGAAAUGGAGAGAGAGAGAGAGAGAAAGAGAUUAGGUUAGUGUUGUUUUGAUGGGGGGUUUUGUAUUUAUAAAGGGAGAGGACGGUGGAGGGGAGGGAAUAGCUAAUGAGAAAAAGAGAAGGGGAUUAUGGGGAGAGUGGGAGAAAUUCUU
rnacentral:lncRNA from 1 species